ensembl:lncRNA
CUCCAUCUCUCGUGUCCCCUGUCCCCUCUCAUCCUCGCUCCCCCUCUAGGGUCUCCGUUGACUUACCCGCGGGCCGGGACAAGUGGCGCCCAACGUGGGGCCAGAGAACGGGGGGAUCCAGUGAAGGACGCUGCUCAGGGGCCCUAAGAUUAAGAUUGAGGAACAAAGAGCACACUCGACACAGGAGAGGCUUGCGAUUGACGUGGACCUGCCGUCUUUUUGCACCUCGGUGAGUUGAGCAGCGAUUAUGGGACAGGGCAUUAGUCAGCACGAAUUGUUUGUGCAAGGUCUCAAGGAGACAUUACAGGCACGAGGGGUAAAGGUUACAGUCAAACAAUUGCUGAAAUUUUUUGAUUAUAUUAAAGAUCUCUGUCCCUGGUUCCCUGCUGAGGGAACCAUUGAUGAAAAGAGAUGGAAAAGGGUAGGGGAAGCUCUUCAGGAUUCCUGUGCCACUUGCGGACCCGGAAAGGUCCCGAUUGCGGCGUUCUCGUAUUGGAAUUUUAUCAAUGAUAUUAUUUCCCAAAAAACGAGGGACCCACUGGUAGCUCAAGCUAUCCAGGUUGGGGAGAUAGCCCUCCGUACGGGUGAGGAUCCAACGCCUCCAGGCGGCUCCGACGCAGUUCCCCGGGACGCCAAUAUGGCGCCGGGACCCAGGCCAGUUAAGGCCAUGACUUCCUCGCCAGACGAGGAGAAGGACUUGAUGUCCUUUGACAGUGACGAUGAUCUCGCCCCCGACAGACGUAACACUCCCUCGGACCAAUCCCAGACGGCCACAAUCCCUGCCAAGCUCUAUAAGGCAAAGCUUCGCCGGACCCCCGCCUCCACCCCCAGAUCCGCCCCAAAAUGGCUCCGGGACUGACGAGUCUGUGGGGGGGGCACUGCGGGGUGGCUCUGGGUGCCCCCCUCCUUACAUUCCUCCUGGCCCCAACACUCCCGCUCUGGCAUAUCCUGUUGUUGAUCCCCAAAAGGAACUCCGGGACAAAAUAGAUUUCCUCAAAGAACAGAUAAGGUUAGAAAAGGAACAUCAAGAGCUUAUUACCCAGCUUGAAGGUUUAAGAACAGGCAAGGCCCAUGAAAAUGUCCCUAGAAAAGACAAACUUAAGCCACGACCCCCCCGUUAGAGGGGCGGCCCCUAGGGUGCCAUCCGGGUCAAGAGUAUCCCUGAAACUUAAAAAUGUGGAAGCCUUUCCCGUAACUAAAACUACUGACGCACAGAGACAGGCAUGAAGACACCACAGUGGUUUCGAUUUUAAGGUCAUUAAAAAAUUUAAAACGGCCGCAGCUCAAUACGGGGCCACUGCACCUUACACCAUGGCUAUUUUAGAAUCGGUGGCAGAAAAUUGGCUCACCCCAAUUGAUUGGCAGACUCUGGCCCGUGCCACCCUUACAGGAGGUGACUACUUAUUAUGGAAAUCUGAGUAUGUUGAGAAUUGUCGAGAGACCACUAGACGUAAUGCUCAGGCGGGGAAUGGUUGGGUGCUUGACAUGCUUCUUGGGGAGGGGGGCCUAUGCCGCUAACGACCAACAGAUGCAAUUUGAUGUGGGGUUAUAUGCCCAGAUUCAGACCGCCGCCACUAGGGCCUGGAAAAGCUCCCCUCCAAAGGAGACGUGAGUGCCUCCCUCACUAACAUUCGGCAGGGCCCAGACGAGCCGUUUGCGGACUUUGUCCACCGCCUUCUCACGGUGGCAGGCCAAAUUUUUGGGAGCGCAGAAACCGGGACGGAUUUCGUUAAACAGCUUGCUUUUGAGAACGCCAACGCCGCUUGUCAGGCCGCUAUCCGCCCCUAUAAAAAGAAAACUGACCUUUCCGGCUACAUUCGCCUUUGCUCUGAGAUUGGGGCCGCCUACCAACAGGGCCUUGCCAUGGCAGCUGCCAUGCAAGGCUUCACAGUCAAACAAUUCCUGCAGCACCAUGUCGGCAAUAAGUGCUUCCGGUGUGGGGCCACCGGCCAUUUUGUUAGAGAAUGCCUGACCGCUAAAAUGCAGGGCCCCGAUGCUCCGCCC